GGGCUUCGCUUUCCUUCUCCAAGAAAGGGGUGUGCGAAUGCUGAUGUCCAUAAAGAUUCUGGUUAAGUCCGGUGGGGCACACAGUUAGGGCUUAAUGAACAGGAGCUGCCUGGCAGAGGACCGCAGUUAAUCGGGGUUCCGCACCGCUUUGGUGACCUGGAACUUGGUAAGUGAGCCUGGGAAGGGCCAGGGCUGGGGGAGGG
rnacentral:lncRNA from 1 species